AUAUCGGAACGUGCCCUGGAGUGGGGGAUAACGCAGCGAAAGUUGCGCUAAUACCGCAUACGAUCUAAGGAUGAAAGCAGGGGACCGCAAGGCCUUGUGCUCCUGGAGCGGCCGAUAUCUGAUUAGCUAGUUGGUGGGGUAAAGGCCUACCAAGGCAUCGAUCAGUAGCUGGUCUGAGAGGACGACCAGCCACACUGGAACUGAGACACGGUCCAGACUCCUACGGGAGGCAGCAGUGGGGAAUUUUGGACAAUGGGCGCAAGCCUGAUCCAGCAAUGCCGCGUGAGUGAAGAAGGCCUUCGGGUUGUAAAGCUCUUUUGUCAGGGAAGAAACGGUGAGGGCUAAUAUCCCUUGCUAAUGACGGUACCUGAA
rnacentral:rRNA from 1 species